rnacentral:rRNA from 3 species
CGGAAGAGAUAAGUGCUGAAAGCAUCUAAGCACGAAACUUGCCCCGAGAUGAGUUCUCCCUGACCCUUUAAGGGUCCUGAAGGAACGUUGAAGACGACGACGUUGAUAGGCCGGGUGUGUAAGCGCAGCGAUGCGUUGAGCUAACCGGUACUAAUGAACCGUGAGGCUUAACCUUACAACGCCGAAGGUGUUU